rnacentral:lncRNA from 10 species
UUUGCCUGUUGAAUAAUUCAAAAAUAUCUUCAUGGCAGGGGAAACACAAAUGCUGACCUCAAGGAGAAGCUGAAGCCAAGAGUAUUAAUCACAGUGGUGAAGAUAAGAAAGAUGACCCCAAGUAAGAAAGCCCAGAAAGGCACUUGCUGUUGACUCCCUCAGAAAGAACACCACGAAAGACCAUGGAUCAUGUAAAGAGAGCCCACAAAGGAAGAAGAAGAAAGAAAGUAAGGAAGAAACACCAUACCUUGUUGAGAGCUGUAAAUGGUAUGAUAUUUUACUCCAUGUGGAGCUAACAAACUAGCCUGUCACAACUUCAAGGAUGCUGUCGGAAGACACAAGAUUC